rnacentral:sRNA from 1 species
UUGGCAGCCCUGGAGACUGAAGCCUUCUAUUUACCCCCCAAACAGAUCUGACAGGGCCACAGCAGUGCAAGUUCUUCCCCAAAUUGCUGACCCCCACUUCCCUCAGCCCUGACCAGGAGGGAUUAUGCCGCAGAAGUGAAAGGAUAAACCAGGGGUUCUCAAAUUGGGGGUCAG